rnacentral:rRNA from 1 species
CGGCAUGGAUUAGGCAUGCAAGUCGAACGCAACUCCCGCUUCGGCGGGACGAGAGUGGCGAAAGGGUGAGUAACACGUGAGUAACCUGCCCCCGAAAGCGGAAUACCGCGGGAGAACGGGAUUAAUGCCGGAUGAGGUCCUCCGUCGCAUGUCGGAGGCACCAAAGGUCCGCUGUUCGGGGAUGGGCUCGCGGCCCAUUAGCUUGUUGGCGGGGUAACGGCCCACCAAGGCGAUGACGGGUAGCUGGUCUGAGAGGAUGAUCAGCCACACUGGGACUGAGACACUGCCCAGACUCCUACGGGAGGCUGCAGUCGAGAAUCUUCCGCAAUGCGCGAAAGCGUGACGGAGCAAUGCCGCGUGAGGGAUGAAGGCUUUCGGGUCGUAAACCUCUGUCACAAGGGAUGAAUAAAUGACAGUACCUUGAGAGGAAGCCACGGCUAACUACGUGCCAGCAGCCGCGGUAAUACGUAGGUGGCGAGCGUUAUUCGGAUUUACUGGGCGUAAAGGGUCCGUAGGGGGAUGAAUAAGUUUGAUGUGAAAUUUCGAGGCUCAACCUCGAACCUGCAUUGGAAACUGGCGGACUUGAGUCCGCGAGGGGUGAACGGAAUUCCUGGUGUAGCGGUGGAAUGCGUAGAUAUCAGGAAGAACACCGAUGGCGAAGGCGGUUCACUGGCGCGGUACUGACUCUGAGGGACGAAAGCGUGGGUAGCGAACAGGAUUAGAUACCCUGGUAGUCCACGCCGUAAACGUUGUGCGCUAGAUGCGGGGGGUCUGAUCCCCUCCGUGUCCAAGCUAACGCGAUAAGCGCACCGGCUGGGGACUACGGUCGCAAGACUAAAACUCAAAGGAAUUGACGGGGGCCCGCUCAAGCGGUGGAGCAUGUGGCUUAAUUCGAGGCAACGCGAAGAACCUUACCUGGGUUUGACAUAUACCGGACCGGUGUGGAAACACACCUUCCCUUCGGGGCUGCUAUACAGAUGCUGCAUGGCUGUCGUCAGCUCGUGUCGUGAGAUGUUCGGUUAAGUCCGGCAACGAGCGCAACCCGUGUCGUCAGUUGCCAGCAGGUAAUGCUGGGCACUCUGGCGAGACUGCCCGUGUUAAGCGGGAGGAAGGCGCGGAUGACGUCAAGUCAGUAUGGCUCUUACACCCAGGGCUGCACACGUGCUACAAUGGCUGGUACAGUGAGAAGCGAAAUCGCGAGGUCGAGCAAAUCUCCAAAACCAGCCUCAGUUCGGAUUGCAGUCUGCAACUCGACUGCAUGAAGUUGGAAUCGCUAGUAAAGGCGUAUCAGCAACGGCGCCUUGAAUACGUUCCCGGGCCUUGUACACACCGCCCGUCACAUCAUGGGAGCUGGAUGCACCCGAAGUCGUUGACCUAACCCUCGGGGGAGGGAGGCGCCGAAGGUGUGUCCGGUGACUGGGAUGAAGUC